rnacentral:tRNA from 2 species
GUAGAGUACUCGGCUUUUAAGUGCG